CCUCAACCUGUCUGGCACCUCAGAGAUCCUAUAAAUCACUAGAGAUACUCUUCUAUAUUUGUCUCAGUGUUUUGGGAGUUUACAGGCUGUUGGAAGAGGAUUCAGAGAGACGAUCUGAAGGCAGAAGCAGAGAGGAAACUCAGACGUAUUUCAUCAGGAACCACAACAUUCCAGAAAGAUGACAAAUGGCAGUAAGGAAGAGGGUAAGGACAUGGACCUACAGGGAGAGGAGUUCCAGCCCCUACCCUUCUCCCCCUAGUUCCUCUCUCCUCUCUCCCCCUAGUUCCUCUCUCCCCUCUCCCCCUAGUUCCUCUCUCCCCUCUCCCCCUAGUUCCUCUCUCCCCUCUCCCCCUAGUUGCUCUCUCCCCUCUCCCCCUAGUUCCUCUCUCCCCUCUCCCCCUCGCUCCUCUCUCCCCUCUCCCCC
rnacentral:lncRNA from 1 species